CACGCUGUAAACGAUGAUCACUAGCUGUAGGCGAUACACUGUCUGUGGCUAAGCGAAAGCGAUAAGUGAUCCACCUGGGGAGUACGUCCGCAAGGAUGAAACUCAAAGGAAUUGACGGGGGCCCGCACAAGCGGAGGAGCAUGUGGUUUAAUUCGAUGAUACGCGAGGAACCUUACCUGGGCUUGAACGUAUAUUGCAUGAUUGUGAAAGCGAUCUUUCUAGCGAUAGACUAUAUACGAGGUGC
rnacentral:rRNA from 1 species